rnacentral:rRNA from 1 species
UACAGAGGGUGCAAGCGUUGUUCGGAAUUAUUGGGCGUAAAGGGCGCGUAGGCGGUGCGGUAAGUCUGUAGUGAAAUCCCCGAGCUUAACUUGGGAACUGCCAUUGAUACUAUCAGUCUUGAAUACUGUGGAGGUUAGCGGAAUAUGUCAUGUAGCGGUGAAAUGCUUAGAUAUGACAUAGAACACCAAUUGCGAAGGCAGCUGGCUACACAAAUAUUGACACUGAGGCUCGAAAGCGUGGGGAUCAAACAGG